UACGUAGGGUGCGAGCGUUGUCCGGAAUUAUUGGGCGUAAAGAGCUUGUAGGCGGUUUGUCGUGUCUGCUGUGAAAAUCCGGGGCUCAACCCCGGACUUGCAGUGGGUACGGGCAGACUAGAGUGUGGUAGGGGAGACUGGAAUUCCUGGUGUAGCGGUGAAAUGCGCAGAUAUCAGGAGGAACACCGAUGGCGAAGGCAGGUCUCUGGGCCACUACUGACGCUGAGGAGCGAAAGCAUGGGGAGCGAACAGGAUUAGAUACCCCCGUA
rnacentral:rRNA from 1 species